GAUGAAGAACGUAGCGAAAUGCGAUAAGUAGUGUGAAUUGCAGAAUUCAGUGAAUCAUCGAAUCUUUGAACGCACAUUGCGGCCAUAGGUAUUCCUUUGGCCAUGCCUGUUCGAGCGUCAUUUACACCCUCAAGCCUAGCUUGGUGUUGGGCGUCUGUCCCGCCGUUCUCGCGCGCGGACUCGCCUCAAAGUCAUUGGCGGCGGUCGUGCCGGCCCCCUCGCGCAGCACAUUUGCGCUUCUCGGAGGCCCGGCGGAUCCGCGCUCCAGCAAGACCUUUCACGACUUGACCUCGGAUCAGGUAGGGAUACCCGCUGAACUUAAGCAUAUCAAUAAGGGAGGA
rnacentral:misc_RNA from 1 species